rnacentral:ncRNA from 1 species
CAAAGGCUUGGUCCUGGCUUUGCCAUCAACUUUAACCAAAUUUACACAUGCGAGUAUCCGCACCCCCGUGAGAAUGCCCCACAGCCUCCUGGACUGGAGACGAGGAGCCGGUAUCAGGCACAGUAUUACUAGCCCACAACACCUUGCUUAGCCACACCCCCAAGGGAAUUCAGCAGUGAUAAAUAUUAAGCCAUAAGUGAAAACUUGACUUAGUUAGUGUUAAUAGGGUCGGUAAAUUUCGUGCCAGCCACCGCGGUUAUACGAGAGACCCAAGUUGAUUGCCCUCGGCGUAAAGAGUGGUUAAGAAAAACCCUUAAACUAAAGAUGAACGACUUCAAAGCUGUUAUACGCACACGAAUCCAUGAAAAUCAACUACGAAAGUGACUUUAAACCCCUGACCCCACGAAAGCUAUGACACAAACUGGGAUUAGAUACCCCACUAUGCCUAGCCGUAAACAUUGAUAUUAAUCUACCUGUUUUAUCCGCCCGGGUACUACGAGCAUCAGCUUAAAACCCAAAGGACUUGACGGUGCUUUAGAUCCACCUAGAGGAGCCUGUUCUAGAACCGAUAAUCCCCGUUAAACCUCACCUUUCCUCGUUUCAUCAGCCUAUAUACCGCCGUCGUCAGUUUACUCUGUGAAGAACUUGAAGUAAGCACAAUUGGUACAACCCAAAACGCCAGGUCGAGGUGUAGCCAAUGGAGAGGGAAGAAAUGGGCUACAUUCAAUAAAAAUAAUGAACACGAAUGAUGUUUUGAAAUAAAUAUCUAAAGGAGGAUUUAGUAGUAAGUGGAGAAUAGAGUGCUCUACUGAAAUUGGCCCUGAAGCGCGUACACACCGCCCGU